AGGCUGAGAGGGACGGCCCACCCAACAGAAGCCACAACAGGUCCCCAAAGAAUUUCUGCAGGCUGGGACUCCUGAGUGAAAUGAAGAAGUGGGAUUCAACAGAGAGAAAUGUGAAGUCUGCCAGCUAGGGAAUGAAAUGAAAGAACGAAGAGGAAAAUCUUAACCUGUACAGCCUCUUGGAUGAUGGGGUGGGAAGUAAAGACCUGUCCCCCAGUUUCCUGCUGCCUGGAGAAAUCUGGAAGAUCUCCUAGGGCUUUGGAGAAUGAAGGCACCCUUGUCUGGAUGCCACCACAGCCUCCUCCCUCUCACCCCGGCCUCCUCCUCCUCAUCUUCAGCCCACCAAGGCCAGAUUUGUCUUGCAAAGUGGCAUCAUUAUAAACGCAUCAGCCUCCUCUGGACGCCUGUGCCUGCUCCCGCCAGCCCAUCCAGGCUCGAUUACAUCUGAGGCUGUCUGGGCCUCCCUUGCUCUUAGGUUGGUCACAUGACUCACUCCAGCAAAUGGGAUGUGAGCAGAAGGUAUAUAUGUUACCUGGAAUGAGGUGAAUAAUUACCUGGUGUGCUUUUCUACAAUCCUUGUUGCCUGAGUGAUGCCAAGAUCAUUUUGAAGCUGCAAGAUGGUGGAGCCACAAGAUGAAAGGAACCUGUAUCUCUGAGUCACCACACAGAAGAGAGACAUCUAGGAAAGCUGCUUGACAUGGGUCAUAUGAGUAAGAAAUCAACCUCACUGCGCAAAGCCACUGAGAAAUCAACCUUCCUGCACAAAGCCACCGAGAUGUUGGGGCUACUUAUUAGAGUGGCUAGUGGGAAUUACUCUGACUAAUAUAAAGGGGUUAAA
ensembl:lncRNA LINC02622 long intergenic non-protein coding RNA 2622